GGGCCCGCACAAGCGGCGGAGCAUGCGGAUUAAUUCGAUGCAACGCGAAGAACCUUACCUGGGUUUGACAUAUACCGGAAAGCUGCAGAGAUGCAGCCCCCGCAAGGUCGGUAUACAGGUGGUGCAUGGCUGUCGUCAGCUCGUGUCGUGAGAUGUUGGGUUAAGUCCCGCAACGAGCGCAACCCUCGUCCUAUGUUGCCAGCGGAUAAUGCCGGGGACUCAUAGGAGACUGCCGGGGUCAACUCGGAGGAAGGUGGGGAUGACGUCAAGUCAUCAUGCCCCUUAAGUCCAGGGCUUCACGCAUGCUACAAUGGCUGGUACAAAGGGCUGCAAUACCGCAAGGUCAAGCGAAUCCCAAAAAGCCAGUCUCAGUUCGGAUUGGGGUCUGCAACUCGACCCCAUGAAGUCGGAGUCGCUAGUAAUCGCAGAUCAGCAAUGCUGCGGUGAAUACGUUCCCGGGCCUU
rnacentral:rRNA from 1 species